UGCUCCCUGGUAUACGCGUCAGUCGGCAAUGUCCCUGUGCCGAUAUUUACAUACCCAGGAUGAAUGCUUUGAUGACAUUGAGCAGGCUCGGCUCGUACCGAGAAGCCUUAGGAGUUAAUCAUUUACCCGCCUUGAACCUACGGUUCAUAGGUCAACGCCGGCAACGGUAUUUUGGGGAGCAA
rfam:Shewanella benthica KT99 1099576005631, whole genome shotgun sequence.